AGUGAACGCUGGCGGUAGGCCUAACACAUGCAAGUCGAACGGCAGCACAGUAAGAGCUUGCUCUUACGGGUGGCGAGUGGCGGACGGGUGAGGAAUACAUCGGAAUCUACUUUUUCGUGGGGGAUAACGUAGGGAAACUUACGCUAAUACCGCAUACGACCUACGGGUGAAAGCAGGGGAUCUUCGGACCUUGCGCGAUUGAAUGAGCCGAUGUCGGAUUAGCUAGUUGGCGGGGUAAAGGCCCACCAAGGCGACGAUCCGUAGCUGGUCUGAGAGGUUGAUCAGCCACACUGGAACUGAGACACGGUCCAGACUCCUACGGGAGGCAGCAGUGGGGAAUAUUGGACAAAGGGCGCAAGCCUGAUCCAGCCAUACCGCGUGGGUGAAGAAGGCCUUCGGGUUGUAAAGCCCUUUUGUUGGGAAAGAAAAGCAGCAGGUUAAUACCCCGCUGUUCUGACGGUACCGAAAGAAUAAGCACCGGCUAACUUCGUG
rnacentral:rRNA from 1 species